rnacentral:rRNA from 1 species
AGCAGCCGCGGUAAUUCCAGCUCCAAUAGCGUAUAUUAAAGUUGUUGCAGUUAAAAAGCUCGUAGUUGAAUUUCGGGAUUGGCGCAUCGGUCGUGCCUCACGGGGUAUGAACUGGUGCAGUCAAUUUCUCACCUUCUGGAGAACCGCGAUGUCCUUAAUUGGAUGCCGCGGGGAACCAGGACCUUUACUUUGAAAAAUUAGAGUGUUUAAAGCAGGCAUUUUUGCUUGAAUACAUUAGCAUGGAAUAAUAAAAUAGGACGGCAUGGUUCUAUUUUGUUGGUUUCUAGGACCACCGUAAUGAUUAAUAGGGAUAGUUGGGGGCAUUAGUAUUCAAUUGUCAGAGGUGAAAUUCUUGGAUUUAUUGAAGACUAACUACUGCGAAAGCAUUUGCCAAGGAUGUUCUCAUUAAUCAAGAACGAAAGUUAGGGGAUCGAAGACGAUCAGAUACCG